GCCUAGAUACGCCAACGCGGCAGAGCGGUCUGGUCUAAACCCAGAUGUUUGCAGGUUCGACUCCUGCUCUAGGCAC
rnacentral:tRNA from 1 species